UUUUAUGGAGAGUUUGAUCCUGGCUCAGGAUGAACGCUGGCGGCGUGCCUAAUACAUGCAAGUCGAGCGAACAGAUAAGGAGCUUGCUCCUUUGACGUUAGCGGCG
rnacentral:rRNA from 2 species